AGAGUUUGAUCCUGGCUCAGAACGUACGCUGGCGGCACGCCUAACACAUGCAAGUCGAACGAAGUAGCAAUACUUAGUGGCAGACGGGUGAGUAACAUGUAGGUAUCUUCCCUUUGGCCUGGAAUAACACGAGGAAACUUGUGCUAAUACCGGAUAAGUCUUUACGGAGAAAGCUUUAUGCACCAUUGGAUGAGCCUGCACUUGAUUAGUUUGUUGGUGGGGUAAUGGCCUACCAAGACUUUGAUCAAUAGCUGAUUUGAGAGGAUGAUCAGCCACAUUGGGACUGAGACACGGCCCAAACUCCUACGGGAGGCAGCAGUGGGGAAUCUUGCACAAUGGAGGAAACUCUGAUGCAGCGAUGCCGCGUGAGUGAAGAAGGCCCUUGGGUUGUAAAGCUCUUUCGUCGGGGAAGAAAAUGACUGUACCCGAAUAAGAAGGUCCGGCUAACUUCGUGCCAGCAGCCGCGGUAAUACGAAGGGACCUAGCGUAGUUCGGAAUUACUGGGCUUAAAGAGUUCGUAGGUGGUUGAAAAAGUUGGUGGUGAAAUCCCAGAGCUUAACUCUGGAACUGCCAUCAAAACUUUUCAGCUAGAGUUUGAUAGAGGAAAGCAGAAUUUCUAGUGUAGAGGUGAAAUUCGUAGAUAUUAGAAAGAAUACCAAUUGCGAAGGCAGCUUUCUGGAUCAUUACUGACACUGAGGAACGAAAGCAUGGGUAGCGAAGAGGAUUAGAUACCCUCGUAGUCCAUGCCGUAAACGAUGUGUGUUAGACGUUGGAAAUUUAUUUUCAGUGUCGCAGCGAAAGCGAUAAACACACCGCCUGGGGAGUACGACCGCAAGGUUAAAACUCAAAUGAAUUGACGGGGACCCGCACAAGUAGUGGAGCAUGUGGUUUAAUUCGAAGAUACGCGCAGAACCUUACCAACACUUGACAUGUUCGUCGCGACUUUAAGAGAUUAAAGUUUUCGGUUCGGCCGGACGAAACACAGGUGCUGCAUGGCUGUCGUCAGCUCGUGUCGUGAGAUGUUGGGUUAAGUCCCGCAACGAGCGCAACCCUCACUUUUAGUUGCCAUCAUUAAGUUGGGCACUCUGAAAGAACUGCCAGUGAUAAGCUGGAGGAAGGUGGGGAUGACGUCAAGUCCUCAUGGCCCUUACGUGUUGGGCUACACACGUGCUACAAUGGUAUUUACAACAGGAAGCAAGACGGCGACGUUAAGCAAAUCCUCAAAAAAUACCUCAGUUCGGAUUGCACUCUGCAACUCGAGUGCAUGAAGCUGGAAUUACUAGUAAUCGUGGAUCAGCGUGCCACGGUGAAUGCGUUCCCGGGUCUUGUACACACCGCCCGUCACACCAUGGGAGUUGGUUCUACCUUAAGGCAAGGUUUAAUACCCUUGACCACGGUAUAGUCAGCGACUGGGGUGAAGUCGUAACAAGGUAACC
rnacentral:rRNA from 1 species